GAGUCUAACAUAUGUGCAAGUCAUUGAGUUAUAUUAAACUUAAUGGCAUAAUUAACUUAACUUAAAUAUAAUGGGAUUAAUUUUUAGUCUAUUUUUUAAUAAAUAGUCAAUUAAUUCAAUCCCGGGGCGUUCCAUAUAGUUAUGUAUAAUGAUAAUUUAUUAUUAUUUAUACCUCUAACUGGAGCGUACCUUGAGCAUAUAUGCUGUGACCCGAAAGAUGGUGAACUAUACUUGAUCAGGUUGAAGUCAGGGGAAACCCUGAUGGAAGACCGAAACAGUUCUGACGUGCAAAUCGAUUGUCAGAAUUGAGUAUAGGGGCGAAAGACCAAUCGAACCAUCUA
rnacentral:rRNA from 1 species